UUUUUAGUAUAAGUAUGUCCCAUGUAAUAUUAGGGAUAUACUUCUACUAUAA
rfam:Canis lupus familiaris chromosome 18, whole genome shotgun sequence.